rnacentral:tRNA from 1 species
GGAGAUUUAGCUCAGCGGCAUAAGCGCCUGUGUUAUAAGCAGGCAGUCGUGAGUUCAAUUCAAUCCCCG